rnacentral:ribozyme from 1 species
UUGGUAUUUGUUAGGGUAUGAACAGAAGUGCUCACAGCACGGCCCUGUCAGAUUCCAACAAAUCUGUGAAUUCUGCC